rnacentral:rRNA from 1 species
GACGAACGCUGGCGGCGUGCUUAAUGCAUGCAAGUCGAGCGGAAAGGCCCUUUCGGGGGUACUCGAGCGGCGAACGGGUGAGUAACACGUGAGUAAUCUGCCCUUGGCUUCGGGAUAGCCACCGGAAACGGUGAUUAAUACCGGAUACGACACAUCACUGCAUGGUGCGUGUGUGGAGAGUUUUUUCGGCCAGGGAUGUGCUCGCGGCCUAUCAGCCUGUUGGUGGGGUAAUGGCCUACCAAGGCUUCGACGGGUAGCCGGCCUGAGAGGGUGACCGGCCACACUGGGACUGAGACACGGCCCAGACUCCUACGGGAGGCAGCAGUGGGGAAUAUUGGACAAUGGGCGGAAGCCUGAUCCAGCAACGCCGCGUGAGGGAUGACGGCCUUCGGGUUGUAAACCUCUUUCAGCACAGACGAAGCGCAAGUGACGGUAUGUGCAGAAGAAGGACCGGCCAACUACGUGCCAGCAGCCGCAGUAAAAC